CUAUGCAAAAGCGAGCCACAAAUCGAUAACGUCAAACAAUCGGAACUUCUAACUCAUAAACCAAAUAAGCAGCUGUAACAACGAUGAACAUGUAAACAACAAAGAUCGGGCCCUGGUCCGGACCCAGCGUACCCGCCCAACCAUGAGACAAUCACCUACUCGUCUCCCACAUUUUGCCAUUAGAUGGCCAUCAGCCUGUGCCGGCUGUUAUGCCAACUCUCCCCAUCAAAGAAAAUUUAGCCGGGCAUUUCUCUCUUCAGAUACGGCAUAUAAUUGGUUGCAUUUCUUAUCGUUAUUAACAUUUAAUCUUAUUUCUUAUUCCCCUGCAGGUUAUCUUCAAGCUGUUAUUUAUAAUUUCGUGCUCGGCAACAUUUCCGGCAUUUUUAACCAGAAUACAUUUUUUUGUUGGCGACCUUCAUACAAUACCGGAAACCAAUAAAAAAACGGCCAGAAGUUAUUGCCAGUCAACAAAGGAAAGGAAAACAAGGGGAGAAAUAUAAACACAGACGCAAUAAUUUUGGGCCCUUUCAUUCCCGGGAGCACAAUGGAAAGUCUGCGUCUGACUCUGCCGUUUACUCAGGUGAGGAGGCACGAAAUGGAACAGACUCACUCGGAUGAUAUGGGCGUGGUCUCGCCCGUGGCCGCCGCAAAAAAUAAAUAUCCAACUUCAAAAAUUCUUAACUGCAAGCCGGUACGUCCGCUGUGAACCGCUGACAAAGUCGAAUUCUCCGUACAUUUGGGCAGCAACAUCAUCGGUGUAUACAUUGGCGAGGCGGGCACCGUUGCUACCCAUCUGCACAGCUGCAUUUUUUUGGGUCAAUGGCCCAAAUGACGGUCAAGGGCAUAUCCAAGGGCAUGCGAUCCAUUUUCCUCAUAUUUUAUUAAGAGUGAACCGGGCGGCCAAUAGCAAUCGUGGCGCCGUGGAUCGCAAGUCUGGCGUUGCCACCCUUCAAAAAAUCGGCAUGGCCGAUAAUAUCGCACGCAACCAACUAAGUAAACCCUCGGUGCUGCGGAUAACGUCAAAUGCAAUAACUGACAAAUUUGUAUAUAUGUUUCGAAAAUGUUUCCCACAUGAUCUUGAUAAAUGUGCUCUAUAUUAAGUUGGUCUUGAUUGAAUAUUAUUAUUAAAUUGACAAUAUCGCGCACAAGAUGUUUAAAA